UCCCAAUGAAGAACCAUUCAUGUCUUACUUCCUGUCCUAGUCCCAGAGUCUGUAAAUUACGGUAAACACACUGCAAAUUGGCUGUGGAAGAAAACCAAAGUUUGUUCCAGAAGGAACUGUCUUGAGGAAU
rnacentral:snoRNA from 1 species